AGAUGGGAGUAGAUAUUCUUUUUGCAUUUUACUAUGGAUAUAAAUGUAUACAUUGUACCCAUUUAAUCAAAUACUUGACUGAUUGGAUGCCUGCAUCAAACGCAGACAUGACUCCCCACAAAAUGGGCUUCAUAUGAGCCUAUGUGGCAAAGAUUAGGGUUCCUGGGAAGCAGAUUCUGAGAUGAAAUUAAGAGCUCAUUAUGUUAAUUAAGGUGCAUCCUUGGAAUCAACACCUCUCGAGGUAGGGGAAGGAAGCAGACAGGGCAGAGAAAGAAGCUGCGCUUCCAUGGAGACCCAUCACAACUGCAGUGAAUCUCAUAGAGAUUUCUAGAGCUCGAAUGACCCUUCAGCAUUUUCUCAAGAUGAGUGGUAGUGAACAGGCCCUUACACUCCCUCCUUGAUCAGUUUUUGGAUGUGGGCUGCCUGUAAAGGGGUGUGUCCUCGGGCAAGGCUGCUCUCUGCAACAGAGGCAGUCCUUGGAAGGGCAGCCAGCUUAUGGCCAUCUGCCUACAGCUGAAGAGCAACAGGUUCUUCAGUGAAGGAAGGUCUGGCCAGUGCAGCACCAGGCUCAUUCAUAUUAGGUAACUCCAGGUAAAUGUAAGUGCAUUUCUUAGAGAUGGGAUGAGGUACUUUGAAGUACCUCAUUGAGUUUAAAGGCAAAGGUAUUGAUACCUACAGUUAUAUUCACUAGUUCUGGUUGAGUUCAAUUACACUGAAUUUGAGAUGGCAGUUUGAAAGUUUACUGUCAGUAACUACAAAAGAAGAAAAGACAAAAAAGCAGAGCAUUGUCUUUGCAAUUAUGCUGGGACACUUUCAGAGUAAGUCCCCAAGAUACAGGGUCCAAAAAAAUACUGAUAUGGUACUCAUUUGUGAUUCUAUGUAUUCUCUUUCCAAGAGAACUUCAGCUGCAUGUUGGAUGGAAAACAAUAUGAAACAAGGGAGACAGAGACAGAGGAGAAACACAGUUUGUUAAUAUUCUGUGCUAGAUUCUGCAGAGGAAUCACUUUAUUUUGCAGAUGUAACUAGCUUAAGUAGAGCUAAAAGUUAUGUAGCUAGAAAGCUGACUUACACCCUUAAAGCUAAUGAAGAGAAAUGCAGGUUUCCCAGGGUAGGUUCUUGGCACUUCUUUGCAAAUAGGUAAAAGGGAAUGGCAGAUAUUCAAGCUCAGGGAGCAAGCAGCAAGGACAGAGCCUUCCCCCCUCUCAGUGUGUUGAAGUCAGCAGAUAGCACACCUGCUGCUGCGUGAGUUCCUUCUGCCAAGCAGAGCAGCACAGCUGCAAGACGCUCUGCUUCUGGCUCUGAGCUUUGCCUGUCUUCAGGGAUGAGGCCCCUCCCAAGGCAAGUUCAACUGGGUUCUUUGGCAGCCGAAGUCUACAUGGACCCUGCAGGGAGCGGUGGAGAAAAGUAUAUUGAUCAUGAGGAGAGGGUUCGCCCCUCACGGGAGAAGUAGUUAGGAAGGCAAUAUGUGGAAACAAAGCCAUGAAUCUGACAUGAAAUGUGCUUAAGAUUGUAUACAUGGAGAUGAAUAUCCAUUGUCCUUUGCACUUUCUGGAUGAUAAAUUAGAAAGGAAGAAUCCAAAGAAUGAAGUUGUGCUAUUUGUCUUCAUUUCUGAUCUGGGAAACUAGAAGAAAUUAAGAUGGUGCCCACUUUGAUGACUUGUUGUACUAGCGCCUUUGAUCUCCAUCAUAGAAAAUGCUCUGCUCCAUUUCAAAAGAGAUUGUCAUAUACGCCAUUUGCCAUUCACUGUUCUUUGGAUCAAACCAACAGCAGACCUCACAGAUAGAAUUCCACCGCUGGCCAUUCACAAAGAGCAAAACAAGCCUUAUGAAGCAGCCAAUGAACUUCAUCUUGCCAAACCCAGUGGACUCACCACAAUCUCUAUAGAGGUGACAUCAAUUCUUUAUUGGACAUGGAAGCAUAUUCCCUUCUUCUGAAAGUCUCACCUCUCUUGAGUUUCUCAAUAUGAUUAUUUCCUUUAUUUACUCUACUUCUCUGAAUUGCAUUUCCUGGUUUCCUUCUCCAUUUUCAUUUUUCUCCAAAACCCCCUUGGGUUAACAUCCACCGUGGUUCCCUUCUCAGUAUUUAUGUUUUUUAUGUGAGCUCUUAGUCAAUAUCCCAUGUUUAACUAUCUCCUAAAUAUGGUCAUUCCUAAAUCUUUACUUCCUACCUGAAAUUUUCACCAAUUUUCUCAUUAGUGGUAUCUUAUGGAUAUUAAUUCAUCCAUCCAUCUAUCCAUACACCCAUUUAUUUAUUUAAUAUUUUUUGCAUACCAACAGAAUGCUUGCCACUAUUCUAGGCACUUGUCAUACAACAAUAACAAACAGACAAUAAUAUCUGUACUCGGAGAUUUUAUACUCUAGUUUGGCACAAUAGCCAAUAAACAAACAGUAGGGGGAAAUAAUAUUUUUCAGUCAACAACUCUAAAAACAGCUAUCUUUCUCUUUUAUACCUGUGAUUUCUCGCUUAACAGCAAUAGCCAUAAGUGGUAUGAUUAUCUGUCAAUCAGCUUUUUCAUGCUAGCGUGAUCAGAAUCAACCUCAAUUCCUCUUUCCACUUUUACAAGUAUUCAAAGGCAGUAUUGUCUGGUGGUUAAGAGUCUGAGCUAUCCCAUUCCACAGACCUUUGUUCAACUUUUGUCACCGCAAGUUAUGUGAUUUACAUCUAGUUAAUCUCUUUAAGCCUGUUAUGGUGUCAAAAAAAUUCUACCUGACAGGAUUGUAUGAGUGUAAAUGAGAUAAUAUAUGAUUAUUAUCCUGUCUCAUAUUUAGUACUCAAUGAAUGGUAGAUAUUAUUCUUUUAUUUUCAUCAUUUAUCCAAUUGACCCAUGUGUCUCACAGAUUCUAUUUUCUAAAUCGGCACUGUCCAAAAUGGCAGUCACUAACAUGUGGUCAUUGAGCAUUUGAAAUGUGGCUAGCCAAAACUGAGAUGUGCUCUAAGUUUAAAGUAUACACUGGAUUUUGAAAACUUAGUACCUAAAAAGGAUGUACAAUAUCUCACUGAUGAUUUUUGUAUCAAUUACAUGUUACAAGGACAGUAUUUUUUAUCUAUUAGGUUAAAUAAAAUGCAUUAUUAAAAUUAA